AUGACCUGAGCCAAAGGCAGACGCUUAACGACUGAGCCACCCAGGCGUCCCAACAGGCCUGCUUUCAAUAGUGGAAGGGUCUCUUGCAGGAGGUGACGUGAGCUAAGGGAGAAAUGCCAAAGGAGGAAAGCUGCUGGCUGGACGGAGAGCAGGGACAAACAUCCCGAACAGAGGGAACAGCAUGUGCAAAGGCAGAGGAAAGGAGCAUAUGGUGGGUGGGAAGGCCCUCUGAGGCGUCUGCAUGCCUGUGGCCUGAGUGGGCCCAGCGCCCAGCGUGUCCCUUGAUGUGGUAAAACCAGCUCCCUGGCUGGCCUGGAGCCUCCUGGAGGGCAGAUCUCGAGGUGUCCCGCCCCGCCCCCCGGGGAGCCUCCCUCAGGAACUGUGUGGCCAGGCUGUGAGCCCCCAGUCCUCCCUCUCCUCGUCCACAGGCGACUACUUCGGGAUCCUCAAGGAGGCCAGGGUGACCACGUUCCCAUUCAACGUCCUGGACAAUCCCAUGUACUGGGGUAGCACGGCCAAUUACCUGGGCUGGGCUGUCAUGCACGCCAGCCCCACCGGCCUGCUGCUGACCGCGGUUGUGGCCCUCGUCUACAUGGUCGCCAUCCUGUACGAGGAGCCCUUCACCACGCAGAUCUACCAGCAGAAAGCCUCCCCGUCCCACAAGAGGAGCUGACCGGGCCUUCGGCCACGUCGCGGAGCGUCUGUCGCCUCCGGCCUGCCCCGAGUGCCAAGCCCUGCAGCGGGGAGACGGGCCCCGGCCGCCGCUCGGUGUUGGCGCCCGGCGAGGGCCACUCCAGUGCCUUGGAAACCUCUGCCUUGGGGGCCCUGGACAUGCUGUCGUCUGGCCACUGAGCCCCCCUGCCCUGCAGCCCCCAGUACGUCCUAACCCACCAAUAAAGGCACCCUGACCCUGGCA